rnacentral:rRNA from 1 species
UUCCGAUGGUGAACCUGCGGAGGGAUCAUUACCGAGUUUACAACUCCCAAACCCAAUGUGAACCAUACCAAACUGUUGCCUCGGCGGGGUCACGCCCCGGGUGCGUCGCAGCCCCGGAACCAGGCGCCCGCCGGAGGGACCAACCAAACUCUUUUCUGUAGUCCCCUCGCGGACGUUAUUUCUUACAGCUCUGAGCAAAAAUUCAAAAUGAAUCAAAACUUUCAACAACGGAUCUCUUGGUUCUGGCAUCGAUGAAGAACGCAGCGAAAUGCGAUAAGUAAUGUGAAUUGCAGAAUUCAGUGAAUCAUCGAAUCUUUGAACGCACAUUGCGCCCGCCAGUAUUCUGGCGGGCAUGCCUGUCCGAGCGUCAUUUCAACCCUCGAACCCCUCCGGGGGGUCGGCGUUGGGGACCUCGGGAGCCCCUAAGACGGGAUCCCGGCCCCGAAAUACAGUGGCGGUCUCGCCGCAGCCUCUCCUGCGCAGUAGUUUGCACAACUCGCACCGGGAGCGCGGCGCGUCCACGUCCGUAAAACACCCAACUUCUGAAAUGUUGACCUCGGAUCAGGUAGGAAUACCCGCUGAACUUAAGCAUAUCAAUAAGCGGAGGA